AGUCACUGUCUCAGCAGGGAAACGUGGUAAGGGGGGACGGAGAAACAUUUCUCAAAUCAUGAAAGGUUGUAUGCCUGUCUUCCUCAGCUGACAGAAGACGCUUGACUCUGGUCCUGUGACUGGCUUAAGGGCACCCUGUAGCAUAAAGGUCUGCAAGCACAGCCUGAUCCAAGGAAAUUAAAGAUCACUGAAUCUUCCCUGUGGUAGCUGGGAUAACCUGGACUAAAUGCAGUUACAGUAUUUGUGGAGUCACACAGCUAUGAAGGUAUCUGUGCUUCUUUCUACACUCCUGAGCAAGACAUGAAGUUCAGAGAGAUGUUAGAUAUGCAUGAAACAGCAUCUGAAAAAUUCAGAUGAACAGUGAUCUGCAGAUUUCCAUUUCAAGUAGAAAUCUUCUACUUUUGUGACACUGCAAGGAACACAACUAGACAAUCAUGCAACCUUCAGACAGUUAGCCUUAUGUGGUAGCUGAAUAUACUACAGGGUAAAUGCUAUAGAUUUUCCAUGAAAUGAGUUCCCACAAAACACUUAUUGAGAACUUUUUAUCUUUUGGAGUGUCUCUGCUAAACCAUUUGAUAUUUGACUUACUACAUUACUAUAAAAUCUCUAAUGUUUCUUUUAUUGAUCUGUUAUAAAGAAGUCCCUGUAGGGUGGCUAUAAUCUCUGGAGGAGUACUGAUCACUAACACAAAACCAACACAUCAAACUCUGAUAUCUAUAAAGUCAAAGUUUUGUGUCAAUGCAAAUGAUUAUAAUGGCCCGUCUGUGGUCAGCAAUUCAGGUAUACAAAUGUGCAUACCCUCUUAUGUGAUGUCUAAGGUAAAAUACCAAGAACCCCUUUCUAAUUAAU